UAAUGCCCUUCGAAAUCCUCUAU
rnacentral:miRNA from 1 species